GCUAAAAGUCAUUAUGCACUGCUUGUGCCUCUUUCCUACUUACCAAGGAUGACAUAUUUAAAUUAUUUAAGUUAUUCCUUUUUUAGUCAAAUUGUUUACCAUGUGAGCUAGUUAACAAAAGAAGUAAUGAAAAAACCUUGCUCUAAAUACCUACAAAGGUUUAAUAUGGAGUAUUUAUGACAGAGAAAUUCUUAUAAUGCAAAUAUAUGCUUAUGAGAGAAGUUUAACAUUUGCCAUUGUGAAUACUUGGGAUAAAACAUGUUUAGAAAAAAUGGGGAAAAUUUCAACAUAUGCAAAUCAACAAAUGUGAUUCACCACAUAAAUAGAAUUAAAAAUAAAAACCAUAUGAUCAUCUUAAUUGAUGCAGAAAAAGGCUUAGAUAAAAAUUCUCAACAAACUAGGCAUCCAAGGCUCAUACCUCUAAAUAAUAAGCAUCAUCGAUGGCCAACAUGAUAGUGAAUGGUGAAAAACUAACAUGAUACCAAAUGGACAAAAACUGUAAACAUUCUCCUUGAGAACUGGAACAAGACAAAGAUGCCACUCUCAUCACUCCUAUUCAACACAAUACUGGAAGUGCUAGAGCAAUCAGGUAAGACAAAGAAAUAAAAGGCAUCCAAAUAAACAAAUAAAAAGUGAAACCAUCUCUCUUUGUGGACAAUAUGAUUAUAUACCUAGAAAACCAUAAUGGUUCUGCCAAAAGACUCCUGGAACUGAUAAAUGACUUCAGUGCAGUUUCAGGAUACAAAAUCAAUGUACAAAAAUCAGUAGCAUUUCCAUAUGCCAUUAGUGUUCAAGCUGAGAGCCAGAUCUAGAAUUCAAUCCCAUUUACAAUAGCCACAAAAAUAAAAUACCUAGAAAUACAACUAACCAAGGAGGUAAAAGAUCUCUACAAGAAGAACUACAAAACAUGGCUAAAAGAAAUCAUGGAUAACUUAAACAAAUGGAAAAUCAUUCCAUGCUCAUGGAUUGGAAAAAUCAAUAUCUUUAAAAUAGCCACAACACCUAAGCAACCUACAAAUUCAAUACUAUUCCUAUCAAACUACCAAUGACAUUCUUCACAUAAUUAGAAAAAACUAUUUUAAAAUUAAUAUGGAGCCAAAAAAGAACCUGAAUAGCCAGCACAAUCCUAAGCAAAAAGAACAAAGCUGGAGGUAUCACGUUACCUGUCUCCAAACUAUACUAUAGGCUACAGUAAGCACAACAGCAUUGUACUGAUACAUAAACAGAGCAUAGACCAAUGCAACAUAAUAUAGAACCCAGAAAUAAAACUGCACACCUGCAGUCACCUGAUCAUCAACAAAGUUGACAAAAAAAAGCAAUGGGGAAAAGAUUCCCUAUUCAAUAAAAGGUGCUGGAAUAACUGGUUAGCCUUAUGCAGAAGAAUAAUCUGGACCAGUACCUUUUAUCAUAUACAAAAUUCAAUUCAAGAUGAAUUAAAGAUUUAAAUAUAAGACCUCAAAAUAAGAAUUCUAGAAGAAAACUUAGGAAACACCAUUCUGGACGUUGGCCUUGGGAAAGAAUUUAUGACUUAUUUCUCAAUAGCAAUUGCAAUAAAACAAAAAUUGACAAGUCAGACCUAAUUAAACUAAACAGCUUCUGUGCAGCAAAAGAAACUAUCAACAGAGUGAACAGACAAUGUGUGGAAUGGGAGAAAAUAUUUGCAAUCUAUGCAUUGGAAAAAUAUCUAACAUCCAGAACCUAUAAAGGAACUUAAACAAUUGAAUAAGCAAGAAAUAAGUAACCCCAUUAAAAAAUGGGCUAAAGACAUGAACAGAAACUUCUCCAAAGAAGACAUACAAGUGGCUAACAAACACAUUUAAAAAUUUUCAACAUCACUAAUCAAAGAAAUGCAAAUCAAAACCACGAGAUACCAUCUCAUGCCAGUUAGAAUGGCUAUUACUAAAGGGUGAGAAAACAACAGAUGCUGGAGAGUCUACAGAGAAAAGGGGAACGCUUAUACACUGUUGGUGGGAAUGUCAAUUAGUUCAGCUACUGUGGAAAACAGUUUGGAGAUUUCCUAGAGAACUUAAAACAGCACUACCAUUCAACCCAGCAAUCCCAUUACUGGGUAUACACCAAAAAGGAAACAAAUUGUUUUACCAAAAAGACAUAGUGCUUGUAUGUUUAUUGCAGCACUAUUCAUGAUGCCAAAGACAUGUAAUCAACCUAGGUGCCCAUCAGUGGGGAAUGGAAAAAUAGAACAUGGUACAUAUACACCAUGGAAUACCACACAGCCAUAAAAAAAGAAUAAAAUCAUGUCUUUUGUAGCAACAUGGAUGCAGCUGGAGGCCAUUAUCCAAAGUGAAUUAAUGCAGGAACAGGGAACCAAAUACUCUGCACAUUCUCACUAAUAAGUUUUCUAGAAGAAAACUUAGCAAACACAAUUAUAGAACUAAAAAACAUGGCUAAAAGAAAUUUUUGAUAGUUCAUAGACAUAAAAAUGGCAAAAAUAGAGAGUGGACACUACUAGAGUGGGCAAUGAGGGAGGGAUGCAGGGGUUGAAAUACUAACUAUUGGGUACCGAUAUGGUUUGGCUCUGUGCCACACCCAAAUCGCAUCUUGAAUUGUACUCCCAUAACUCCCAUGUGUUAUGGGAGGGACAGAGUGGGAGAUAAUUUGAGCCAUGGGGGCGGUUUCCCCCAUACUGUUUUCAUGGUAGUGAGUAAGCCUCAUGAGAUCUGAUGGUUUUAUCAGGGGUUUCCGCUUUUGCAUCCUCCUCAUUUUCUCUUGUGGCUGCCAAGUAAGAAGUGAAUUUUGCCUCCGGCCAUGAUUCUGAGGCCUCCCAACCAUGUGGAACUGUAAGUCCAAUUAAACCUAUUUUUCUUCCCAGAUCGGGUAUGUCUUUAUCAGCAGCAUGAAAACGGACUAAUACAGGUACCAUGGUGAGUACCUGGGUGAUGAGAUCAUUCGUACCCCAUACUUCAACAUCACACAACACACUCAGGAUCUGUCUCUGUUAACCACAGUGAGCACUCAAAAUACAGAUCAGAAAGAGCCACACAACCAUUGAAGGCAAUCACCCUGAAGGAGGACAAGAAAUCUCACUUUUCCACCUACACCUCUUUUGUUUUAUGGUUAUUGCUUUAAUCUAAACCACCCUGUCCUCCAGCAUACUUUGCAAUGUCAAUCUAUAUGGCUUCCCCAGCUACCAAAAUUCCAGAAAAAAUGAUAUCACAAUUUACUUUUUUUAUAUUUGGUGAUUGGAAUAGCAAUAGUAGCAAGACUAAUUUCUAUUAAAUAAAUUAUCAGAAAUGAUGUAGAAUAUGUCUUCCAUUUCUGACAAAACAAUAAAAACAGGCUGGGCAAGGUGGCUCACACCUGUAAUGCCAGCACUUUGGGAGGCUGAGGCGGGCGAAUCACGAGGUCAGCAGAUCGAGACCAUCCUGGCCAACAUGGUGAAACCCCGUCUCUACUAAAGAUACAAAAAUUAGCUGGGCGUGGUGGUGCGUGCCUGUAAUCAAUCCCAGCUACUCAGGAGGCUGAGGCAGGAGAAUCACUUGAACCAGGGAGUUGGAGGUUGCAGUGACCUGAGAUGGCACCAUUGCACUCCAGCCUGGCAACAGAGAGAGACUCUGUCUCAACAAACAAAACAAAACAAAAAACAAUAAAAACAAAUGAAGAGAUGUGCAAGUCAGUAUGGUGAAUACAUGUGUACACAUACAUAUUCAUGUACAUACAUGCCCUCAUCUGCAGAGCAAAAUCCCUUGAGUUACUCUCUUAUCUCUACUUGGGUUGAAUUUAUGACCGUAAGUGACUGCAUUAUGUUGGGAAGGAGACAAUGCCUGUAAGGUAUCAAAGUUCUGUAAAAAUCAUCAAAAACUGGCAUCUGUUCUUGCUAACAUGCAUUCCCUUCCUGUAGCAAUUCAAGUUUUUUAAAAAUAAUUUUAAAAUUGAAAACAUUAAGGGAGUCAUCCUGUUAAAUGACAGUUAUUUUUUAAAAUUUUGUUUACAGCAAACUCAUAUAAAAGAAAAACUGAAUCACACAUGCCAGAGCAAAAAAAAAAAAUAAGUAAAAUUAUAAGAUAUGAACCCAAGGAGAACCCUGAGAUCUAUGAGCAGAUCCAACAGCUACAACAUUGUCUGAGAACUAGAAAAGAUUUAGAGGUCUUCUAAGUGCAUAUCCUUCAGUGCUGUUUCCUCUUGUUUUGAUUUUUAUUGUGAUCACCUAUCCACUGAUCCAAGAUGAAAACAUUCCUGAGUCACCUGGCUUGUCAUAUACAGAUAGAACUGGCAUAAUGACAUUGGAACUGGUUUCUUUUAAAUGUUUUUAGCAAUCUUAAGUCAAAUUAUUUUGCGUUGCUUCUUAACACAUUGUGGAUCUGCACACAUUCUGUACAGUCUGUUGCAUUCUAAUUCCCUCGUGUGUAUAAUGAAGUUACCGAUGCACGGUUGCUGAGGCCUUUCUUGCUCUAACAUCAAUCCUCCAGUCUUCUUAGAAUUCAAGUGUGUCAUUCCUCAUAUGACUAUUGAGUGUAAAUAAUAUGUUUACCAGAGCCAGGGUCAACAUAGCCCACUGGCUACAAACAAAGUAAUAAAAUUACUUCUAUAAAUUAAGGUUUAUAUAAUACUUUAUUUAUACACAUGGAUUUUUAUUAAUCUUUCAUUUUUUUUCCAUAAUUGUCUCCUCCUUUUCUCGUAGGUCUUCACCCCUAUAUUAUAAAGCUGCCACCCUUUCCCCUGGGUAUAUUGUAUAUUAUAACCUAUACUUGUAUAUUAUAAUUGUAUAUUUGUAUAUUAUAACCUAUACAAUAUAAAUGGUAUAGAUGUAUUAUACUAUAAUCUAUUUAGUUGUUACUUAUUUAUUGGCUUUCAUUUUUACUUAUUUUCUUCUACUUUUGACCUCUUUUAUUAAAUAUCUUUGUAAAAGGUGUCUGUAUGUAUUGGUAUUCACAGUCAAGAUCUGAGAUUUCACCCUUCUUGCAGGCCAACAAGUUGGCCUAUGGCAAUUUCAUGGGUUCUGGCAGAAGACAUGAGGAAGUUAUAAUUCACAGUACAGCAGGCAACAGGAGCGUCAUGCUCAUGUCUAUUUCUCUUCACCUCAAGUUCUACGUGGACUACAGUGAGGAGCCCAGUUUGUUUAAUUUGUAGAUUCUGAGAAGCUGUGAUGAGAGAAAAGAGAUCAAGGAUAUCCUUUAUAUUCUGAUUAAACUGUGAACACUCUUCUAAAAAAAUACACAUACACUCAAUAUUUUGCAUGUAAUUUAUGUGAACGCAUUGACUCUUUGAAACCUGAAGAUUUCCUAUGAGAUGAAGAGCCUAAGUCUCAGUUUCUUAACAGAACAAAGGAUCAUUUCUUUCUCCUCCUACAACAUUUAGUGAAUCUCGGCUGACUGGAUUAGUUGAGUCUCCAACAUGGUAUGAUGCAAUUGUCUCAGCACUAGGAUGCAGCAUUUACCAUGGAGGAGAGAACAGCAUAG
rnacentral:lncRNA from 10 species